GCAGGUGUAGUUCAAUGGCAGAAUGUCAGCUUCCCAAGCUGAACACGAGGGUUCGAUUCCCUUCACCUGCU
rnacentral:tRNA from 2 species